rnacentral:rRNA from 1 species
GACGAACGCUGGCGGCGUGCCUAAUACAUGCAAGUAGAACGCAGUUGCGAACGGGUGAGUAACGCGUAGGUAACUGCCUGGUAGCGGGGGAUAACUAUUGGAAACGAUAGCUAUUACCGCAUACUACCAGAUGGACCUGCGUUGUAUUAGCUAGUUGGUGGGGUAACGGCUCACCAAGGCAACGGUACAUAGCCGACCUGGAGAGGGGGUGGGGCACACUGGGAAUGGGAAAAGGCCCAGACUCCUACGGGAGGGAACAGGAGGGGAACUUCGGGAAAUGGGGGAAACCUGAACGAGCAACGCCGCGGGAGGGAAGAAAGGUUUCGGAUCGUAAAGCUCUGUUGUUAAGGAAGCGGUACUUAACCAGAAAGGGACGGCUAACUACGUGCCAGCAGCCGCGGUAAUAC